UGAUCAAGCUUAUGGCAUAGAUUAGUGGA
rnacentral:piRNA from 1 species